rnacentral:rRNA from 1 species
CACGUAGGGGCAAGCGUUGUCCGGAUUUAUUGGGCGUAAAGAGCUCGUAGGUGGUUCGGUAAGUCAGGUGUGAAACCUCCAGGCUCAACCUGGAGACGCCACUUGAUACUGCUGUGACUGGAGUCCGGUAGGGGAGCGUGGAAUUCCUGGUGUAGCGGUGAAAUGCGCAGAUAUCAGGAGGAACACCAGCGGCGAAGGCGGCGCUCGUGGGCCGGUACUGACACUGAGGAGCGAAAGCGUGGGUAGCAAACAGG